rnacentral:rRNA from 1 species
UACGAAAGGGGCUAGCGUUGCUCGGAAUCACUGGGCGUAAAGCGCACGUAGGCGGCUUUCUAAGUCAGGGGUGAAAUCCUGGAGCUCAACUCCAGAACUGCCUUUGAUACUGGAGAGCUUGAGUCCGGGAGAGGUGAGUGGAACUCCGAGUGUAGAGGUGAAAUUCGUAGAUAUUCGGAAGAACACCAGUGGCGAAGGCGGCUCACUGGCCCGGUACUGACGCUGAUGUGCGAAAGCGUGGGGAGCAAACAGG